rnacentral:rRNA from 1 species
GACGAACGCUGGCGGCGUGCCUAACACAUGCAAGUCGAACGAGGUCCAUCCUUCGGGAGAAGACCUAGUGGCGAACGGGUGAGUAACACGUGAGAAACCUGCCCCGAAGACCGGGAUAACCCUCCGAAAGGAGAGCUAAUACCGGAUGCCCCCACCGAGCCGCAUGGCUUGGUGAGGAAAAUGGAUUCCGCUUCGGGAGGGUCUCGCGGCCUAUCAGCUAGUUGGUGGGGUAACGGCCCACCAAGGCAUCGACGGGUAGCUGGUCUGAGAGGACGAUCAGCCACACUGGGACUGAGACACGGCCCAGACUCCUACGGGAGGCAGCAGUGGGGAAUCUUGCGCAAUGGGCGAAAGCCUGACGCAGCAACGCCGCGUGGGGGAUGAAGGCUCUCGGGUUGUAAACCCCUUUCAGCAGGGACGAAAUCAGACGGUACCUGCAGAAGAAGCUCCGGCUAACUACGUGCCAGCAGCCGC